rnacentral:rRNA from 1 species
AAGUCGAGGGGAAACGACAUCGAAAGCUUGCUUUUGAUGGGCGUCGACCGGCGCACGGGUGAGUAACGCGUAUCCAACCUGCCCACCACUUGGGGAUAACCUUGCGAAAGUAAGACUAAUACCCAAUGACGUCUCUAGAAGACAUCUGAAAGAGAUUAAAGAUUUAUCGGUGACGGAUGGGCAUGCGGCGCAUUAGCUAGUCGGCGGGGUAACGGCCCACCAAGGCAACGAUCAGUAGGGGUUCUGAGAGGAAGGUCCCCCACAUUGGAACUGAGACACGGUCCAAACUCC